rnacentral:rRNA from 1 species
CAAGUCGAACGAUGAUGCCCAGCUUGCUGGGUGGAUUAGUGGCGAACGGGUGAGUAACACGUGAGUAACCUGCCCCUGACUCUGGGAUAAGCGUUGGAAACGACGUCUAAUACUGGAUAUGAUCACUGGCCGCAUGGUCUGGUGGUGGAAAGAUUUUUUGGUUGGGGAUGGACUCGCGGCCUAUCAGCUUGUUGGUGAGGUAAUGGCUCACCAAGGCGACGACGGGUAGCCGGCCUGAGAGGGUGACCGGCCACACUGGGACUGAGACACGGCCCAGACUCCUACGGGAGGCAGCAGUGGGGAAUAUUGCACAAUGGGCGAAAGCCUGAUGCAGCAACGCCGCGUGAGGGAUGACGGCCUUCGGGUUGUAAACCUCUUUUAGUAGGGAAGAAGCGAAAGUGACGGUACCUGCAGAAAAAGCACCGGCUAACUACGUGCCAGCAGCCGCGGUAAUACGUAGGGUGCAAGCGUUGUCCGGAAUUAUUGGGCGUAAAGAGCUCGUAGGCGGUUUGUCGCGUCUGCUGUGAAAUCCCGAGGCUCAACCUCGGGCUUGCAGUGGGUACGGGCAGACUAGAGUGCGGUAGGGGAGAUUGGAAUUCCUGUGUAGCGGUGGAAUGCGCAGAUAUCA